AUCCAGGAUCUUGAUCUCAGCUAAGGCUUGUAUUUAAUCAGCAAUGUGCUGGUCCCAUUUCAAGAAAGAUAAAGCAUUGAUUUACGUCCCAGGAGACAAAGCGGGUAGAGUGCUUCAUCACAGGUUAGGUACAUGUGCUUCUCAGAAUAGGAUCACUGAGAUGUCUAAUGAUUACAGUAUUUCUACAAGAUUCACAAUCUGAUCAAAGACCAAGGGACUUAUUAACCGUCUAUAAAAGUUCUAGUAAUAAUUAUGUAAAUCUAAAUCAAUUUACCUACAGUAAACAACAGCCAGAGAUGCCAACUCAAUCUGCCGAUCAUAAACGGCUAUGCACCAGGACGGCUUCGGGCCAGAUGGUUUCCUGGCAGAAUCCUUCCAGCAAUUCGCAGAUAUUUUAGCCCUUAUUUAAUCAGUAUUGUAACGGCCGACAGAACCGACGAAAGAAAUAUAUCUGCAGCAAUCCUUGCUGAUAGACUAGGAUUAGUCAUGGAAGAUCUGGCCUUAACUGACCAACUGGGCUUUAUGCCAUUUAAGCAAACCCGUGAUGCUACUCGCUGGAUUAUGGACUUAUUACAAGUGGUAGGUUCCCCUGCAGCAUUUCUUGUGCCUGCUUUUCAUCAGUUCCACCGGGGUUCCUGUCGACCACACUUAAUACAGACGGCUUCUGGCUAAUGGCACUGGACAGGGAUGUCCCUUGUCUCCCCUGUUAUUUAACCUGACCU